ACACUACAACAGGAGAGGGAGCAAGCGCGAGAGGAUAUUAGAAGAGAGGCUUGUCUCCAAGAUAUGGAAGGAAGUGAGAAAUGACAGGGCUGCAAGCUUUGUAUGUAGGAGCCCGGCAGGGCGGGGGAGCGGCGAGGAGAGCCAAGUGGAUUCUCAGAAAAGGGGGGAAGCCAUCGAAGAGCUAAAGGUGAUUAGAGGGGGAUAUUGAUUUCUUAUUCUGCCAGAGAUUUAAGCAGGCAUGCGAGGAAUCUGCACCAUGGUUGGCAAAAAGAGACCCGUUGCCUCCUGUAACCAGACACUCAGGCUUUCCAGGAGCCCAGGGAGCAAGCCGAGAAGAAAGGGGGCAGUGUGGUCUAGGAAAAUUCAACUUGUCGCUGAUUUGUGCCUGAUGCCUGCUGUCCGUCAGCAGCCUCCCUUACAAUCUUUUUUUCUCUCUCUCCUUUUUUUUUCCUUGCCUUCUCCUUCUUCACUGAAGCCUAGGGGAGCCAGUAAAGAUUAAAUGUGCUUCUCAAAGGCAGCCACUUCAUGCUGCUAUGUCGAAAGGGCCAUUAUUAUUAUUAUAUUUUAAUGGUAAAAGAGAAAAGGAGAGAGGUUGAGCGAGCGAGAGAGAAGCUAGGUGUGAUGAUGACAGACUAGCUUUUCUGAGAGGAAAAGGAAAAGGGAAGGGAGAGAAAAAGGAGAGCCUCUGAGCUCAACGGAGGAUUGUGCCUGAGAAGAACCCACAGAGCUGGUCCUAUAGUACCCCUCCUCAGGAAUGUCUCCCCAGUGCAAGGACAAAGACUGAAGAGACUGCUAUAUUGAUGGACUCUCAAGCCAACUAUGAAGUUGAAACAAAGAAAGUGAUCACCUGAAGACACCUCCUCUGCUAAGAAACACCCCCAAAUUGUGCAGCUUCUGCCACUAGAACUCUCAGAACAAGAGACAAUCUUUUCAAGAAACAGAAAAACUCAAUAAUGACAUCUAGAUUUUCAUGAGCCAAGAACUUUCCCUUCCUCAUGUGUAUUCCUCUGUUUGUACUUAAAUUCAUGUGACAUUCAUUUUUUUCCUAGUAUGGAUAUGCUUAUUAAUGCACUUGUUUCAAAAUCCCAAAUUGCACAAAUGUGUUAAUAUUUUAAGAAACAAAAUGAAUCCUACAAGGAGAAUGAUUUUUAGCCACACAUAGGGUUGGAUCUUGAGAGUGACCUACAGAAUAAAAGUACUUUUAAAAUAAAGUAGUCAGAGGCUAUUCAAAGGGUAAAAUAAUCAUAGUACCACAUUGGUCCACUUGACACUAACCAAUCGAUCAUUUUUUUUUAAUCAAGAAAGCUAGAUUCUAUCAGAUAAAAUCACUGCUUCUAAAGAGUUUAAAUCUAGUUAGAAAAAGUUAUAGAAAUGUUUGCAAAGAUAAGUAACAGAUAGAGUCAGUAGAGGAUAAGAUCAAAAACAAAACCAAGCAAAAGAUGAGUUCAGGGGAGUUUGCCAUCAAGUUGGCAAAACUGACUUACUUAGGGAAGAAAGUUAUAAAACAGGAAAAUAUGAGAUGAACCUUGAGUGAUGUGGAAGAUUUAGAUAAAUGGAAAGGAAGGAGAAAAUGGAGUUCUUUAGGUGGUUGUAAUUGGAGGAGGAAAUGAAUACACACAUCUUGUUGACUUAAACCCAGACAUUCAGCAGCUCUCUAUACAUAUCUGGAAAAGACUGCACAGUCACCUCCUGUCUCUCACCCCAGGUAUUACUUAGAAUUAUUAUCAUAUUUCCCUUCCUUUAAAGUAAGUAAGGGUGAUUGGUGACAAUAUGGAGAACUAUGAUUUUUCCAUUAACCUAAUAAUAAUUGGUAUUUAUUGAGUUCUGUUAAGCAUUUUACAUAUUAACUCACUUAAGCCUUUCAACAGCCUUGCAAAAUAGGUAUUAUUAUCCCCAUUUUACAGGCAAGAAAACUGAGGUUUAAGUAACUUGCCGAAGUGCCAUAUACAGGGCUCACAUUCAGUAUUGCAGUUGCAAAGCUCAUGAUCUAUAGUGCCAAGUUGCAAUAUUGUAGUCAAUGUCACAAUUAUUACCCCUUUUUAUAUUCCUUGAUAUUUUUCCAUGGCAAACAAUUAGCUAUUUCAUUUAAUAAUCACCUAAAACUUUUCAGUCUUCUGAUUAAAAUUACGCUGGAGUGAUAGAAUGUAUUUUCAUGAUAGAAAUUGGGAAAAAAAAUGGGGAAUGAAGUUUAUCAGCAUUUCAGACUUGUUUUUUUUUUUUUUUUUUGCAAGACUUUGAUGAGAUUGUUCACUUUUGUCUAUGUAAAAUCCCAAAUCCUUGAGAAUAAAAAAGGGGGAGGUUUAAGUCACUUGUUGCAAUGCCCUUUUUAAUAGAGGCAAUAAAUCUAAAGGCCAUAAAUUUAGAGUGACUUACAGAAGAUCGAACUUUGGAGUGUGGCAGAGUAAGGGAUGGAAACCGGGCCCUCCAGUUCACUAUCAGUAGCUUUUGCACUGGUCUGCCCUUCCUAAAUUAAGUAUGCACUUCAAUUUGAUGAGUGGAAACAGUCUAUCUGGGCAGUAACCAGGGAGCUUUGUGCCUAGUAGAUUGCUUCUGUUCUGCACUUCUUUGGUUUCCCACCUCAAUGUAAAAAAUAGCUAGCAAUGAAGUCCAGAAGUUGUCAAUGGUUCAUCCCCAGAAGAAUGCAUAAUGUCCAAAGUUGUAUGUGUAUGAUGUCUUCAAUGGUAUUAAGUUAUUUCAAAUUCUUAGUUCACCUACAUAAAUCAUUUCUAACAAGCAUCUUCUUAACCAACUUUAUGCACAGUGUAUGUUUGUAAGUGCUUCUGCACGAAUGUUUAUACAUGACUGUUUCCAUAGUACUUAUGUUUUUAAAAAUAUUCAGUCAUUUCCUACUAUAAUCCUCAUGUAUCCAUGUAACUGACUCAAAAAUACUUCAGCCACAGAAAGCUAAAACUGAGCAAAUCUCAUUCUUCUUUUCCAUCCCCUUUGCAUGUGGCUGGCAUUUAGUAAUGAUUAAUAAUAUGGCCAGCUGAAUAACAGAGGUUUGAGACACAAUUCUUUCUCAAAGGAGUCAGCUAAGCUGGGUCUACUUAUGGACAAACAUCUAAAUGUGUGGAAGUAUCUGAUAUUUGACAAUGGUAAAUUUCCACUUAGCUAGCUAGCAUUGUCAGACUUCAAUCUCCUCAUGGCUCUGGCCGUCCUGUUUUAAGCAUGAUAAUUGUUGGCCACAUCUCACAUAGUUCUCAUUGAGUGAGUUCAUAAAUAAACAGGGUUUUUUUUUUUUUUUAAAGAGCAGCCAAGCACAAAGUGUGACUUUGUUGACAUUUUAUGUGACUUUGUCAUAUGUUCCUAACCCCCAAUAAAAGCAAUGUUGCAUCAACUGU
rnacentral:lncRNA from 1 species